UACAGAGGUCCCAAGCGUUGUUCGGAUUCAUUGGGCGUAAAGGGUGCGUAGGUGGCAAGGUAAGUUCGGUGUGAAAUCUCUGGGCUCAACCCAGAAAUGGCAUUGAAUACUCUCUUGCUAGAGGAUCGGAGGGGAGACUGGAAUUCUCGGUGUAGCAGUGAAAUGCGUAGAUAUCGAGAGGAACACCAGUGGCGAAGGCGAGUCUCUGGACGAUCCCUGACACUGAGGCACGAAAGCUAGGGGAGCAAACAGG
rnacentral:rRNA from 1 species